rnacentral:rRNA from 1 species
GACGAACGCUGGCGGUACGCUUAACACAUGCAAGUCGAACGAAUGACUUCGGUCAUUAGUGGCGGACGGGUGAGUAAUGCACAGGAAUCUACCUUUUAGUGGGGGAUAGCCCGAGGAAACUCUGGUUAAUACCGCAUAAUGUCGCGAGAUGAAAGCUUUUGCGCUAAGAGAUGAGCCUGUGUCCGAUUAGUUUGUUGGUGGGGUAAAAGCCUACCAAGACUACGAUCGGUAGCUGGUCUGAGAGGAUGAUCAGCCACAGUGGGACUGAGACACGGCCCACACUCCUACGGGAGGCAGCAGUGGGGAAUCUUCCGCAAUGGGCGAAAGCCUGACGGAGCGAUACCGCGUGUCGGAUGAAGGCCUUAGGGUUGUAAACGACUGUCGGAGGGGAAGAAUUUUGACGGUACCCUCAAAGGAAGCACCGGCUAACUACG